rnacentral:rRNA from 1 species
CGGACGGGUGAGUAAUGUCUGGGAAACUGCCUGAUGGAGGGGGAUAACUACUGGAAACGGUAGCUAAUACCGCAUAACGUCGCAAGACCAAAGAGGGGGACCUUAGGGCCUCUUGCCAUCGGAUGUGCCCAGAUGGGACUAGCUAGUAGGUGGGGUAACGGCUCACCUAGGCGACGAUCCCUAGCUGGUCUGAGAGGAUGACCAGCCACACUGGAACUGAGACACGGUCCAG